GAGCCAUCUUGCCCAGCCUAGUACAAAGUUUCUAAAAUUACUUUUUCUCUUUUUGUUCAUUGUGAAUAGUUUCUAAUGCUAUGACUUCAUCUUUACUAAUCUUUUCUUUUGCAAUGUCCAAUUAGCGAUUUUCAAUAUAAUCUUCAUUUUAAUCAUUGUAGUAUUCCUCAUAACUUUUUUGGGAGGAUCUUUUCAAUGUCUUUUUUCUUUUUUUAAAUUUCAAGUUAUUUACCUGAUCAUGGAUCUUUUUUUAUAUCUUUGUUGUCUCUACCUACAUUUUGAACAUUUAAAAUAUACUUUAUAGUAAUUUUUAAUGUCCUCAUCUGCUAAUUCUAGUAUCUUUGUUGGUUCGGGGUUGGUGUCCCACCCUCCUCAUUAGUAGAUGUGUUUUUGUGCUCUUUAUAUGCUUUAUAAUUUUAAUUGUAUGCUGGGCAUUCUGAAUUUUACCCAUAAAGUAAAAUUAUUAUAGUAUUUGUAUUUCUAUAAAUAAUCGUGAGUUUUGUUCUGGGACACAGUUAAGUUACUUAUAAACAAUAGUGUCCCUUCAGGACUUGCUUUUAAGGUUUGUUAGGUGGCAUUUGACAAGUAUUUAGUCUUGGGUUAAUUCACCCCAUUAGUGAGGCAAGACUCUUGAAUACUCUAAUAGGUAGAUGCCUCAUGAGUUAUGAAAUGUCCCAUUCUGGCUAGUGGGAACAGACACUGAUUGUGGUCAUAUGUGAGUGCUGAGAAGUAUUCCCUCUCAUUCUUUUGGGACAUCCUUUCUCCAUCUUUAGGUAGUUUCUUCAAACCUGUAUACUGAUCAGCUGUCUCAUGAAUACGGGAGAAAACCUGCAGGUCUCCGAGAGUUCUCUCCCUGUGCAACUUAUCGCUUUUCAGUGCUGUGUACCGGCCAUUCCAGCUGCCUUUGUUUCGCUGGACUCUCAGCUGUGUCUUCUGAACUCAAUUACUCUAGUUUGAUGUCAUAAUUUCUCAUGGAGUUAAAACUGGACUCUUCAAAAUGAUAGAGUUGUCUGAAUUUGGCUGCAAUGCGAACUACUAAUCGAUUCAAGCUUGUUAUCAAGACACCUAGAGAUCACCAGCGACAGACGGUAAAGCCAAAAGAUCUGUCAUCCUUUAUUCCUUCCCAGACCACUGGAGGGAUGUAAACAGCAGUUAUCAGUUAUCAGCAAUAAACCCUUAUAUCAACAUUUAUCAAGAUAAAGUUUCACAAAACAGGAAGAGAAGAGAUAUCAUUAUUAACCACCACAGGGUGGAAGCAACAAGAGUGUCCAUUAAUGGAUUAAUGUAUACAAAAUGUGAUACAUACAUACAAUGAAAUAUUAUUCAGCUUGAAAAAGGAAGAACAUUCUGACACAUGCUACAACAU
rnacentral:lncRNA from 1 species